AAAACCAAGUCUCUAAGCAAUGGAUGUCUUGGCUCCUCACACGAUGAAGAACGUGGCAUAAUGUGUUAAGUAACCGGAGUUGCAAACAUCAUGACAGGUUAAUCUUUGAAUGCAAAUUGCGCUAAACUCGAUCUCGGUCGAGAAGCAUGGGUGUGACAGUACUACAUCUUUUAUAAUAAUUCUUAUUCUAAGCGAAUAAGUAAAUAAUAUAUAAGACAAACAACACGUAGUCUGCCAUACGCAGGAAGACCCGCUGAACUGAAGCAUCUCAUUAAGCGGAGGAAAAGAAACUAACUAGGAUUCCCUUAGUAAAGGCGAUCGAAAAGGGAACAGCCCAACGUCUUAAUCCCGCAAGGGAAAUGUAGUCGGUUCACCUAUUGCACUGGUCUAAGUCAGAUGGAAUGCUGCGCGA
rnacentral:ncRNA from 1 species